rnacentral:piRNA from 1 species
UAGGUUGUCUUCAUAUGGCUGGCGAUC